AAAAACGCUGGCGGCGUGUCUUAAGCAUGCAAGUUGAGCGGCAAGGAGGAGAGAUCCUCCCUAGAGCGGCGGACUGGUGAGUAACGCGUGGGUAAUCUAUCUUAGGCAUGGGGAUAGUCACUAGAAAUAGUGGGUAAUACCGAAUAAGUUCCAUAAGGGGAGGACUUAUGGAAGAAAGGUGCUACGGCACUGGCCUUAGGUGAGCUCGCGUCCCAUUAGCUAGUUGGUGAGGUAAAGGCCCACCAAGGCGAUGAUGGGUAGCCGGCCUGAGAGGGUGUACGGCCACACUGGGACUGAGAUACGGCCCAGACUCCUACGGGAGGCAGCAGCUAAGAAUAUUCCGCAAUGGACGGAGGUCUGACGGAGCGACGCCGCGUGGAUGAAGAAGGCCGAAAGGUUGUAAAGUUCUUUUGCUAGGGGAGAAUAAGUGUGGGAGGGAAUGCCUGCACGAUGACAAGGACUAGCGAAUAAGUCCCGGCCAACUACGUG
rnacentral:rRNA from 1 species